rnacentral:lncRNA from 1 species
UUGUCUAUUAAAAGUGUUCCUUUAUCCUUAUCAGUGUGCCAGCUCAUACACCGUACCGAGCCCGUCUCUGUUGUACUUCGUAAGAAUGAGCUAUAUACUGACUACCUCUUGACCUUGUGUUGGCAUAGCAGAGUACUCAUGGAUGGGCAAGAACACACCUCUAAUAAGAUGUUUGAUGCAGCAGUAGUGUUUUUUUUUUAAGUCUGCAAAAAUGUGCAUCUUCUCAUAAAGCCUCCGCAACUUCUUGCAGGCCGGGUACUGGUAUAUGGAACUCGGAUGUCAGGUUAGAUAUCAUAAGCGUUGCAAUGCCUUCCAACAAUAAUGAUGGUGUUCCACGUCUCCAAGUCCGACCAGGGAGGCGCCGCUCGAGUCGAAUACCUAGGAAACUGUAAACCCUGUCCGCCAUUUGUGCGGAUCCCAGGCUUGUAAAUGUGGAAAAUUUGGCUGAAUUAUUGACUCCCGGUUGGUUAAAACAGAACCAGAGUC